AACGAACGCUGGCGGCAGGCCUAACACAUGCAAGUCGAACGCCCCGCAAGGGGAGUGGCAGACGGGUGAGUAACGCGUGGGAAUUUCCCCCAAGGUUCGGAAUAACUGAGGGAAACUUCAGCUAAUACCGAAUGGUACCGAGAGGUUAAAGAUUUAUCGCCUUGGGAUGAGCCCGCGUUGGAUUAGCUAGUUGGUGAGGUAACGGCUCACCAAGGCUGUGAUCCAUAGCUGGUCUGAGAGGACGACCAGCCACACUGGGACUGAGACACGGCCCAGACUCCUACGGGAGGCAGCAGUGGGGAAUCUUGGACAAUGGGCGCAAGCCUGAUCCAGCCAUGCCGCGUGGGCGAUGAAGGUCUUCGGAUUGUAAAGCCCUUUUGGCGGGGACGAUAAUGACGGUACCGGAAGAAUAAGGACCGGCUAACUACGUGCCAGCCGCCGCCGUAAUAC
rnacentral:rRNA from 1 species